GAAUGUUGACCUCGGAUCAGGUAGGAAUACCCGCUGAACUUAA
rnacentral:rRNA from 1 species